rnacentral:rRNA from 1 species
UUCGUAGGUGGUGCGGCAAGUUGGAAGUGAGAUCUCUGGGCUUAACCCAGAGGCUGCUUUCAAAACUGCCGCGCUCGAGUGCGAGAGAGGUCAGUGGAAUUGCAGGUGUAGCGGUGAAAUGCGUAGAUAUCUGCAGGAACACCCGUGGCGAAGGCGGCUGACUGGAUCGCAACUGACACUGAGGAACGAAAGCUAGGGGAGCAAACAGGAUUAGAUACCCUGGUAGUCCUAGCCCUAAACCAUCAGAACUUGGGGUGGCCCGCGCAGGCGGGUCGUCCCGUAGCUAACGCGUUAAGUUCUGCGCCUGGGGAGUACGGUCGCAAGACUGAA